AUGGCGCCCCCGGCGACCAGGCAGCCGAUGUACAGGAUCCUCUGCAAGGCCGGCGAGGAAAGCUUCAGCCUCGCCGCCAGGGACGGCAAGGUCUGUCUCGUCCGCAACGAUCGCGACGACGACACGCAGCACUGGAUCAAGGACAUGAAGUACAGCAUAAGGGUGAAGGAUGAGGAAGGCUACCCUGCCAUGGCACUCGUCAACAAGGCCAGCGGAGAGGCUCUCAAGCACUCCCUCGGCCAAUCUCACCCUGUUCUUCUGACCAGGUACAAUCCAGACAUCCUGGACGAAUCGGUUCUUUGGACUGAGAGCAGGGACGUCGGGGCAGGCUACCGCUGCAUCAGGAUGGUGAACAACAUCUACUUGAACUUUGAUGCACUCCAUGGCGACAAGGACCAUGGCGGUGUGCGCGAUGGAACCACCCUCAUUCUGUGGGAGUGGACUGAGGGGGACAACCAGCGCUGGAAGAUCGUUGCCUGGUGCAUACCCGCUCAAACAUAA
rnacentral:rRNA from 1 species